rnacentral:tRNA from 165 species
UAUUAGCUCAGUGGUAGAGCGCGCCCCUGAUAAUUGCGUCGUGAGGUCUCUGGUUCAAGUCCAGGAUGGCCCAGCUG